AGGACGAACGCUGGCGGCGCGCCUAACACAUGCAAGUCGAGCGAUAACCAGGGCUUGCCCUGGGGACAGCGGCGAACGGGUGCGUAACACGUGAGCAACCUGCCCCAAAGACCGGGACAACCCGAGGAAACUCGGACUAAUACCGGAUGCCUUCACCGGGUCGCAUGGUCUGGUGAGGAAAUGGAUUCCGCUUUGGGAUGGGCUCGCGGUCUAUCAGCUUGUUGGUGGGGUAACGCCUACCAAGGCGACGACGGAUAGCUGGUCUGAGAGGACGAUCAGCCACACUGGGACUGAGACACGGCCCAGACUCCUACGGGAGGCAGCAGUGGGGAAUCUUGCGCAAUGGGGGAAACCCUGACGCAGCGACGCCGCGUGCGGGAUGAAGGCCUUCGGGUUGUAAACCGCUUUCAGCAGGGACGAAAUUGACGGUACCUGCAGAAGAAGGCCCGGCCAACUACGUGCCAGCAGCCGC
rnacentral:rRNA from 1 species